AGAGUUUGAUCCUGGCUCAGAUUGAACGCUGGCGGCAGGCCUAACACAUGCAAGUCGAGCGGUUGAGGGUAGCUUGCUACCUGAUGCAGCGGCGAACGGGUGAGUAAUGCAUGGGAAUCUGCCUGGUAGUGGGGGACAACGUCUCGAAAGGGACGCUAAUACCGCAUACGCCCUACGGGGGAAAGGGGGGGAUCUUCGGACCUCCUGCUAUCAGAUGAGCCCAUGUCAGAUUAGCUUGUUGGUGAGGUAAAGGCUCACCAAGGCGACGAUCUGUAACUGGUCUGAGAGGAUGAUCAGUCACACUGGAACUGAGACACGGUCCAGACUCCUACGGGAGGCAGCAGUGGGGAAUAUUGGACAAUGGGCGCAAGCCUGAUCCAGCCAUGCCGCGUGUGUGAAGAAGGCCUUCGGGUUGUAAAGCACUUUCAGUGGGGAGAAAGGCCUUUUGCCUAAUACGCAAGAGGAUUGAUGUUACCCACAGAAGAAGCACCGACUAACUCCGUGCCAGCAGCCGCGGUAAUACGGAGGGUGCAAGCGUUAAUCGGAAUUACUGGGCGUAAAGCGCACGUAGGUGGUUUGUUAAGCUAGCUGUGAAAUCCCCGGGCUCAACCUGGGCACUGCAGUUAGAACUGGCAAGCUAGAGUAGGGUAGAGGGGUGUGGAAUUCCAGGUGUAGCGGUGAAAUGCGUAGAUAUCUGGAGGAACAUCAGUGGCGAAGGCGACACCCUGGACUCAUACUGACACUGAGGUGCGAACGCGUGGGGAGCAAUCA
rnacentral:rRNA from 1 species